rnacentral:rRNA from 1 species
UACGGAGGUGGCAGGCGUUACUCGGAUUGAUUGGGUGUAAAGGGCGUGUAGGCGGUGCGUUAAGUUGAAUGUGAAAUCCCUUGGCUUAACCAAGGAACUGCAUUCAAAACUGACGUGCUUGAGUGAUAGAGAGGAAAAUGGAAUUCCCGGUGUAACAGUGAAAUGUGUAGAUAUCGGGAGGAACACCAGUGGCGAAGGCGAUUUUCUGGCUAUCUACUGACGCUGAAACGCGAGAGCUAGGGGAG